rnacentral:rRNA from 1 species
AUUGAACGCUGGCGGCAGGCCUAACACAUGCAAGUCGAGCGGAUGAAGAGAGCUUGCUCUCUGAUUUAGCGGCGGACGGGUGAGUAAUGCCUAGGAAUCUGCCUGGUAGUGGGGGAUAACGUCCGGAAACGGGCGCUAAUACCGCAUACGUCCUACGAGAGAAAGCAGGGGACCUUCGGGCCUUGCGCUAUCAGAUGAGCCUAGGUCGGAUUAGCUAGUUGGUGAGGUAAUGGCUCACCAAGGCUACGAUCCGUAACUGGUCUGAGAGGAUGAUCAGUCACACUGGAACUGAGACACGGUCCAGACUCCUACGGGAGGCAGCAGUGGGGAAUAUUGGACAAUGGGCGAAAGCCUGAUCCAGCCAUGCCGCGUGUGUGAAGAAGGUCAUCGGAUUGUAAAGCACUUUAAGUUGGGAGGAAGGGCAGUAAGUUAAUACCUUGCUGUUUUGACGUUACCGACAGAAUAAGCACCGGCUAACUUCGUGCCAGCAGCCGCGGUAAGAC